GACGAACGCUGGCGGCGCGCUUAACACAUGCAAGUCGAGCGAGAACCAGCCCUUCGGGGCUGGGGACAGCGGCGAACGGGUGAGUAACACGUGGGCAAUCUGCCCUCGGCAUCGGGAUAGCCCGGGGAAACCCGGAUUAAUACCGAAUAGCCUCCGGAGCCUUCGGGCGCCGGAGAAAAGGUAGCUUCGGCCUCUGGCCGAGGAUGAGCCCGCGGCGGAUUAGCUUGUUGGCGGGGUAACGGCCCACCAAGGCGACGAUCCGUAGCUGGUCUGAGAGGACGAUCAGCCACACUGGGACUGAGACACGGCCCAGACUCCUACGGGAGGCAGCAGUGGGGAAUCUUGCGCAAAUGCGGGAAACCGUGACGCAGCGACGCCGCGUGGGGGAAGAAGGCCUUCGGGUUGUAAACCUCUUUCAGGAGGGACGAAGCUACUCGGGUUAAUAGCCCAGAGGGUGACGGUACCUCCAGAAGAAGCCCCGGCUAACUACGUGCCAGCAGCAGCCGCGGUAA
rnacentral:rRNA from 1 species